AGAGUUUGAUCCUGGCUCAGGAUGAACGCUAGCUACAGGCUUAACACAUGCAAGUCGAGGGGCAGCAUGAUUGAAGCUUGCUUCAAUUGAUGGCGACCGGCGCACGGGUGAGUAACGCGUAUCCAACCUUCCGUACACUCAGGGAUAGCCUUUCGAAAGAAAGAUUAAUACCUGAUGGUAUGAUGAGAUUGCAUGAUAACAUCAUUAAAGAUUCAUCGGUGUACGAUGGGGAUGCGUUCCAUUAGGUAGUAGGCGGGGUAACGGCCCACCUAGCCGACGAUGGAUAGGGGUUCUGAGAGGAAGGUCCCCCACAUUGGAACUGAGACACGGUCCAAACUCCUACGGGAGGCAGCAGUGAGGAAUAUUGGUCAAUGGACGCAAGUCUGAACCAGCCAUGCCGCGUGCAGGAUGACGGCUCUAUGAGUUGUAAACUGCUUUUGUACGAGGGUAAACGCAGAUACGUGUAUCUGUCUGAAAGUAUCGUACGAAUAAGGAUCGGCUAACUCCGUGCCAGCAGCCGCGGUAAUACGGAGGAUUCAAGCGUUAUCCGGAUUUAUUGGGUUUAAGGGGUGCGUAGGCGGUUUGAUAAGUUAGAGGUGAAAUUUCGGGGCUCAACCCUGAACGUGCCUCUAAUACUGUUGAGCUAGAGUGUAGUUGCGGUAGGCGGAAUGUAUGGUGUAGCGGUGAAAUGCUUAGAGAUCAUACAGAACACCGAUUGCGAAGGCAGCUUACCAAACUAUAUCUGACGUUGAGGCACGAAAGCGUGGGGAGCAAACAGGAUUAGAUACCCUGGUAGU
rnacentral:rRNA from 1 species